GACGAACGCUGGCGGCGUGCUUAACACAUGCAAGUCGAACGGAAAGGCCCUGCUUUUGUGGGGUGCUCGAGUGGCGAACGGGUGAGUAACACGUGAGUAACCUGCCCUUGACUUUGGUAUAACUUCAGGAAACUGGGGCUAAUACCGUAUAGGAGCUCCUUCUGCAUGGUGGGGUUUGGAAAGUUUCGGCGGUUGGGUAUGGACUCGCGGCUUAUCAGCUUGUUGGUGGGGUAGUGGCUUACCAAGGCUUUGACGGGUAGCCGGCCUGAGAGGGUGACCGGCCAAAUUGGGACUGAGAUACGGCCCAGACUCCUACGGGAGGAAGAAGUGGGGAAUAUUGAAAAAUGGGCGGAAGCCUGAUGCAGCAACGCCGCGUGCGGGAUGACGGCCUUCGGGUUGUAAACCGCUUUCGCCUGUGACGAAGCGUGAGUGACGGUAAUGGGUAAAGAAGCACCGGCUAACUACGUG
rnacentral:rRNA from 1 species